UACGGAGGAUCCGAGCGUUAUCCGGAUUUAUUGGGUUUAAAGGGUGCGCAGGCGGGGGAUUAAGUCGGCGGUGAAAUUUUGCAGCUCAACUGUAACAGUGCCGUUGAUACUGGGGAGCUAGGAUUUGGUUGCUGUGGGUGGAAUGUGUGGUGUAGCGGUGAAAUGCUUAGAGAUCACACAGAAUAUCGAUUGCGAAGGCAGCUCACAAAGCCAAGAUUGACGCUGAGGCACGAAAGUGUGGGGAUCAAACAGGAUUA
rnacentral:rRNA from 1 species